GUUCCUGUAGUGCAUUGGAUAGCGCGUUGGACUUCUUAUCCAAAGGGCUUGGGUUCGAUUCCCACCUGGGAUG